UCUGGAUAAGGAGAUAUGGACGAUGCAAGUUGGGCUGGCGGAACAGCAACUUGAGACCCAACCCAAGCAUUUACAUUUCGGCCCAUAAGUAUAUUUUGACCCAUGAGGCCCAUUAAUGUUAACAUAUCUGGAAAAUUCAGUAAAUGGCUGAUCAUUUUACAUCUAGGAACUUCCAAAAUAUUAGAGAGAGAGAGAGAACUCCUAGGCUAAGAAAAGCCAUUUUGACCCAAAAUCGGAGCCCCGAAUUCCGAAGCUCGUGAAGAGAAGAGUGUUGUACGUUGCAUUGCCUUCAUUUUGAGCCAAAAUUCAGCUAAGAAGGAGAGUGGUGACUUGGUUGCUGCAUACUUAAGGUAUAUAUGCUCCUGUACAAGCUAAGAGGAAUUAUUUGACGAAGUGGACUUUGAUUGGUCUAUGGCGUAGAUGAUUUGAACUCCUCGAGUUGUGGUAGAACUUGUUGUGUGGUAAAACGCCAAGGUAAUGCGCGAGUUGAGGUAUGAAGAUGGCCAAUUGGAGUAGACUUUUUGGGAGCCCUUGUGAAGAUCACAUUUGCAUAUGCAUCUAGUUUUUGUAAAUUUUUGGGGACUUGUACAUGAUACAUGUGUGGCACUUACGUAUGAAAUUUUGAAGGCUUGUGGAAAACCAGACCAUGUGCUUGUAACUUAAACUUGAUGACUGGUUUUGCUAUUUUAGGGUGUGUUUUUUUUAACCCAAGUCAUGCCAUAUACUGAAUUUGUAUUUUGUCUUGUAAUUAUGUACAAAGGAUGAUAAUAGUUUUGUGAAAAUCACUAGUUUGAGUUUUGUGCAUAUUAUGGACCCGUAAUGGUGUUGAUUUGGAAAUAAAAUUUCAAAACGAAGCUUCUUAAAUGUGUUGACUAUUUGAGAAGGGAAUUACCAUUUUA